rnacentral:misc_RNA from 1 species
UCUCCGUUGGUGAACCAGCGGAGGGAUCAUUACUGGAAUCGCAAGAUCCCACAGCCCUGUGAACCUACCGAAACGUUGCCUCGGCGGGGGCCCGGCCUCUGCGCCGGGCGCUGCGCCCGCCGGCGGCCCCCUACUCUGUCUCUGCAGCGUGGCAUCUCAGAGUCCCAGAAAACAAGUCAAAACUUUCAACAACGGAUCUCUUGGCUCUG